UACGUAGGGGGCAAGCGUUGUCCGGAGUUACUGGGCGUAAAGCGCACGCAGGCGGUCUCUUAAGUUUGGAGUGACAGUUGGUGGCUUAACUGCCAAAGUGCUUCGAAAACUGAGAGACUUGAGGGCUUCAGAGGGACACGGAAUUCCGGGUGGAGUGGUGAAAUGCGUAGAGAUCCGGAGGAACGCCAAAGGCGAAGGCAGUGUCCUGGGGAGUACCUGACGCUCAGGUGCGAAAGCCAGGGGAGCGAACGGG
rnacentral:rRNA from 1 species